UCUUCUGUUCUUUCUGCACUUAUAAUUCAACUUGGAAGCCGUCAUGGUGUUUCUGGAUAUGGACAACAGGAAUAUUAUAGAUCACUGUUGACUGCUUUUCAGUCAUUUUGUGAUUGCGUUGGGGAUAUUGAAAUGGGAAAGAUUUUGGCUAGAGAUGGAGAAGAGACCGAAAAAGAGAAGUGGACUGAACUUAUUCAAGAGAUUGCAUGCUGUACCUCGAUAA